UACGUAGGGUGCAAGCGUUGUCCGGAAUUAUUGGGCGUAAAGAGCUCGUAGGCGGUCUGUCGCGUCUGCUGUGAAAACUCAGGGCUUAACCCUGAGCUUGCAGUGGGUACGGGCAGACUAGAGUGCGGGUAGGGGAGACUGGAAUUCCUGGUGUAGCGGUGAAAUGCGCAGAUAUCAGGAGGGAAACACCCGGUGGGCGGAAAGGCGGGUCUCUGG
rnacentral:rRNA from 1 species